UGCUAAAAGUUUCAUCUAUUUCUACUAUUAAAAAGGGGUGUUGCUAGUAGAAUAACCAGACAAUUACAUGUGAUAUGCCACGUGUACCUCAUUCGAACAUAUAAGACCAAUUCUUAAAGGUAGAAAUUGAUAGAAUCUUUAAUA
rfam:Gossypium arboreum cultivar AKA8401 contig_17420_3, whole genome shotgun sequence.